GGUAGAAUCCUACGGAAAAUUGCAAUCCUCACACUUAACAAUCAAAUAUAAACAAAAAAUAAGAAAGGCAGAGGCAAAUUACAGAGGCAGUGAAGAAUUUUUGUGAUAUCAAAAUUCUCUCAAAUCCCAAGAUAGUUUGCUCAGGAAAUCAGUUCACGCAUCAGCAAGCAUGAGAUUCAGGAAAGGAAGCAAAGUGGAAGUGCUAAGCAAGAAGGAGGUGCCUUCAGGCUCGUGGCGUUCGGCUGAGAUUAUUUCUGGCAGUGGUCACUAUUAUACUGUUAGGUAUGAUAAAUUUGAGGGUGGGAGUAAUCAAACUGUUGUCGAGAGGGUAUCGCGUAAGGCUAUCAGGCCUUGUCCGCCUUCUCUGGAAGUUUUAGAGAAUUGGAUCUCUGGCGAUGUUGUGGAGGUAUUCAAUGAUCGUUCUUGGAAAAUGGCUAUGGUUUCUGAGGUUUUGGGGAAGAACAACUAUUUGGUUAGGUUACUUGGUUCUUCUAGUGAAUUCAAGGUUUGCAAAUUCGACAUUCGGGCAAGAAGAUCAUGGCAAGAUGACAAAUGGGUUUUGAUGCACAAGAGGUCUGGCAAUCACGGCAAUGAUAGCAAAGAAGAUGCGAAUGCAAGUCCUAGAUUUUAUGGUCUGAGCUCCCAAAUUCAGAAAUUCCAAAAUGUUCCCAACUUAGACACUUGGAGAAGGGGAUCAAACUAUGAGUGUUCUCAAGCUGAAACAAUGGGUAGAGCUGGCUUGAAAUGUAGAACGUUGAAGAAGAAGCGAAGGUAUCAUAAAGUUGUUGCUCGAGAUCCAUCCACGUUGCACGAGCAUGUAAAAUCACUAGUUAUCCAAAGAGGUAUGCUGGGGGGAAACAUUGGAAGUGCUUUGGAUAGAACCAUCAUUUCUGAAAUGAAUUGUGAUAGGAAGAAACAAAUGGGCGUAGCUUACCAUUCUUUUGCAGAAAACUUUGAACUAAAUGAUGCUGAUAGAGCUACAUGCUCUGUUGGUAGUUGCAGUGUCUCUAACAGUGAUCACCGUGGGUUACGUUGUCGAGUUUCUAUUGGCCACAAUGAAGACACAGAUGGUUCUACGAGUGAUGCUGAAUCUUUUUGUCAUUUGGGAUACAGAACUGACAAUUUUCUUCUGUCCAGAGACGAGCCAUUGGAAGCUGAAAUCCAUAGAGUCUAUCCUGCGAUAACUUUAUCAUCAUCAUUGUACCACUUGGAACUCUGCGAUAUUUCACUUGGGAACAUAAUCGAUGCAUUUGUUCCAGUGUUCGCCACAGUUCCUAAUUGUGUAAAUAAGAUUAUCCAUUCUAUUUGUAUAUACAACAUGAAAGUUUUAUUUACAUUUCUUGUGAAGAUGCAUUGAUUUCAGUUUAUAUGGGUUAUUGCAUCAAUGCAAUUGAGGACAUGCUUGAGCCCGACAUCCUUCUGCCUGUGGAGGAUUAGACUCUUCUUCACGUCGGGGGGCUGAUCGGUCUCGUUUCUCAAUGGUUGAAGUUUGAAAGGAUUCAAUUAUGACAAGACAACCUGACAAAGAAUACAUGAUCCAGGUAACAUAAAAGUAAUGGUUUCUGUUUAUUCCUCCUUAUGCAUUGUAUGUAUAUGUUUUUUCCCUUAGAGAAAAGGAAGGUUACUCGAGAAGGCUUGAUGGUGUUCUUAUGUGCAUCCUGCAGAAAUAUCAAGCUAGAGAUGUAUGGUUCGAGCUCGGCGCUAAAGCAAGUGUAGAACUUGUCUCAAAGCUGUGGGUGGAUUUCCCCACAUAAGAAGUGAGCUUUGCUCUAUAACUAUCAUGCCUGGUUUGAACAUUUGAAUCCAAACAAGCCUCAUCUCAUUAUUAGCUUUUACUUUCUUAAUUACUCUUCCUGUGCUGAUCAUGCCUUCUUUUGAGGAAUUAGGAGUACCGCUGUUCAUAAUUGAGUUGCAAGUACAAAUCACAUUCAUUUGUUGUUCUUUUGCACAGAUGGCAUCUAUCACAAUGAUUUUUCCUCCUGUUUUAUUUAUUUAUUUUUUA